rnacentral:rRNA from 1 species
UACGAGGGGUGCAAGCGUUGCUCGGAAUUAUUGGGCGUAAAGGGUAGGUAGGUGGUCUCAUUUGUCUGGGGUGAAAGCCUUGAGCUUAACUCAAGAAGUGCCUCAGAAACGGUGAGACUAGAGUUCUGGAGAGGGUCGUAGAAUUCCCGGUGUAGCGGUGAAAUGCGUAGAGAUCGGGAGGAAUACCAGAGGCGAAGGCGGCGACCUGGACAGACACUGACACUCAACUACGAAAGCAUGGGGAGCAAACAGG